GUCGAGAAUCUUUCACAAUGGGGGCAACCCUGAUGGAGCGACGCCGCGUGGAGGAUAAGGUCUUCGGAUUGUAAACUCCUGUCAUGCGUGAACAAGGUUGCUUGGUUAAUACCUGGGCAAAUUGAUGGUAACGCAAGAGGAAGAGACGGCUAACUCUGUGCCAGCAGCCGCGGUAAUACAGAGGUCUCAAGCGUUGUUCGGAAUCACUGGGCGUAAAGGGUGCGUAGGUGGCGUGGUAAGUCAGAUGUGAAAGCCCGGGGCUCAACCUAGGAACUGCAUCCGAUACUGCCAUGCUAGAGUACUGGAGAGGUGACUAGAAUUCUCGGUGUAGCAGUGAAAUGCGUAGAUAUCGAGAGGAAUACCAAAGGCGUAGGCAGGUCACUGGACAGUUACUGACACUGAGGCACGAAGGCCAGGGGAGCGAACGGGAUUAGAUACCCCGGUAGUCC
rnacentral:rRNA from 1 species